rnacentral:rRNA from 1 species
GAUGAACGCUGGCGGCGUGCCUAAUACGUGCAAGUCGAGCGAACAGAUAAGGAGCUUGCUCCUUUGACGUUAGCGGCGGACGGGUGAGUAACACGUGGAUAACCUACCUAUAAGACUGGGAUAACUUCGGGAAACCGGAGCUAAUACCGGAUAACAUAUUGAACCGCAUGGUUCAAUAGUGAAAGGCGGCUUUGCUGUCACUUAUAGAUGGAUCCGCGCCGUAUUAGCUAGUUGGUAAGGUAACGGCUUACCAAGGCAACGAUACGUAGCCGACCUGAGAGGGUGAUCGGCCACACUGGAACUGAGACACGGUCCAGACUCCUACGGGAGGCAGCAGUAGGGAAUCUUCCGCAAUGGGCGAAAGCCUGACGGAGCAACGCCGCGUGAGUGAUGAAGGUCUUCGGAUCGUAAAACUCUGUUAUCAGGGAAGAGCAAAUGUGUAAGUAACUGUGCACAUCUUGACGGUACCUGAUCAGAAAGCCACGGCUAACUACGUG